rnacentral:rRNA from 1 species
AUGAUCAAAUCCACACCGCGAGCGGGUCAGGAUCGGGGAACGAGGAGGGUUCUGCUGCAAGGCAGGGGUAGGAGAGGCCUAUACCCCGUCAAACACAUGGGACAAGGCGCCAAGAAGCACGUGCUCAGUGCCACACCGUCCUCGGAUAGGUGGCACCGGCGCCUAGGGCAUCCUUCAUCAACCAUGGUUAGCAAGAAUAAGCUCCCAUGUGUUAAGUUAGUCUAUUCUGAAGUUAUUUGUGAUUCUUGUCAACUAGGCAAAAGCCAUCAGUUGCCUUAUCCGAACUCAAUAAGUGAAUCAAAGUUCCCUUUGGAACUUAUUUUUUCUGAUGUGUGGGGUCCAGCUGUUGAAUCAGUAGGCAGAAAGAAAUACUAUGUGAGCUUUAUAGAUGAUUUCAGUAAGUUCACGUGGAUCUACCUAAUCAAACAUAAGUCAGAAGUUUUUCAAAAAUUUCGUGACUUCCAAAAUCUUGUUGAAUGUCAAUUUGAUCGCAAAAUUCUUGCUCUCCAAACAAACUGCGGAGGAGAAUAUGUGAAGCGAAAUUCUUUCUUCACAAAAGUUGGGAUAUCUCAUCACGUUUCCUGCCCUUAUCCACGUCAGCAAAACGGGUCAGCAGAACGUAAACAUCGACAUAUAGUCGAGGUUGGUCUCUCCCUCCUAGCUCAAGCAAGCAUGCCUCUAAAAUUCUGGGAUGAGGCUUUCAUCGCCGCUACAUAUCUCAUCAACAGAUUACCCAGCAAAGUGAUCAACUUUGAAACUCCCCUUGAAAAACUAUCCCAUGAAAAGCCUAAUUCACUAGUAGAAAAGGGGGCUUUGGUC